GAUCUCCAUUCGUCCUCUCUCUCUCUCUCUCUCUCUCACAGCCAUUGAUGCGUGAGGCAGAGUAGUGGGCGAACCUCAGCCUCUUGGUCACAUUCCCCACCGAAUAUCUCUCUCAGCCCUGUCGGUGCUCUGUUUUUAUCUUCACCCCCAAGAACCAACCGGAUCUCGCUCGUUUGAGCACGACCCAGAAGAAGGAGAAGCGCAAUGAAGGUGAUCGAGAAGAUCAGAGAGUCCGCCGGCGUGUGCAACGGCGGCGGCAACGGCGGCGAGGGGAAGGUGGUGUUCUCGUUCGAGUUCUUCCCGCCCAAGACGGAGGACGGCGUGGACAACCUGUUCGAGCGGAUGGACCGGAUGGUGGUCCACAACCCGACCUUCUGCGACAUCACCUGGGGCGCCGGAGGCUCCACCGCCGACCUGACCCUCGACAUCGCGAACCGGAUGCAGAACAUGGUCUGCGUCGAGACCAUGAUGCACCUCACCUGCACCAACAUGCCCGUCGAGAAGAUCGACCACGCCCUCACCGCCAUCAAGUCCAACGGGAUCCAGAACGUCCUGGCCCUCCGCGGCGACCCCCCGCACGGCCAGGACAAGUUCGUCCAGGUCCAGGGCGGGUUCGCCUGCGCUCUCGACUUGGUGAAACACAUCAGAGCCAAAUAUGGCAAUUACUUUGGCAUUACUGUUGCUGGCUAUCCAGAGGGCCAUCCCGAUGUCAUCGGACAGGAUGGCCUGGCUACAUUGCAGGCUUACCAGAAUGAGCUUGCCUAUUUGAAGAGUAAGGUGGAUGCUGGAGCAGAUCUCAUCAUUACUCAACUGUUUUAUGACACUGAUAUUUACCUCAAGUUCGUGAAUGACUGUCGCCAAGUUGGAAUCCAUUGUCCUAUUGUUCCUGGCAUCAUGCCAAUAAACAAUUAUAAGGGUUUCAUUCGCAUGACUGGUUUCUGCAAAACAAAGAUACCAGCUGAAAUAACUGCUGCCCUGGAGCCAAUCAAGGACAAUGAAGAAGCUGUUAGAAACUACGGGAUUCACCUUGGAACUGAAAUGUGCAAGAAAAUUUUGGCUAAUGGAAUCAAGACGCUACAUCUUUACACACUCAACAUGGAGAAGUCAGCAUUGGCUAUAUUAAUGAAUCUUGGCUUGAUUGAGGAGUCUAAAGUUUCAAGGUCUCUUCCUUGGAGACGUCCUACAAACGUCUUCCGUGUUAAGGAAGAUGUUCGGCCCAUAUUCUGGGCAAAUCGUCCAAAGAGUUAUAUUUCAAGGACCAUGGGGUGGGACCAAUACCCUCGUGGACGAUGGGGUGAUUCCCGGAGUGCAGCGUAUGGGACACUGACUGACUACCAGUUCAUGCGUCCACGUGCCCGUGAUAAGAAACUUCAUGAAGAAUGGGUUGUUCCCUUGAAUAGUAUCGAAGAUGUUCAUGAGAAAUUUAAGAAAUUCUGCCUUGGGAAGUUCAGAAGUAGUCCUUGGUCCGAGUUGGAUGGCCUUCAGCCAGAGACAAGAAUCAUCAAUGAACAACUGGGAAAAAUUAAUUUGAAAGGUUUCCUAACAAUUAACAGCCAACCAGCUGUUAAUGGGGAAAGAUCUGAUUCUCCUUCUGUUGGAUGGGGUGGCCCUGGGGGUUACGUGUACCAGAAGGCCUAUCUGGAGUUAUUCUGCUCUCCAGAAAAAUUAAACAUCCUUGUGGAGAAAUGCAAGGGAUUCCCAAACCUGACCUACAUGGCUGUUAAUAAAGGAGGUGACAAAUGGAUAUCCAACGUCGGGGACUCCGAUGUGAAUGCAGUGACUUGGGGAGUCUUCCCAGCGAAGGAGAUCAUCCAACCGACAGUGGUUGAUCCAGCCAGCUUUUUGGUCUGGAAGGAUGAGGCAUUCGAAAUCUGGUCGAGGGGUUGGGCUUGUCUGUACCCCGAAGGCGACCCGACCCAAAAAUUGCUUCAAGAGAUACAGAGAAGUUACUUCUUAGUAAGCUUGGUAGAUAACGAUUACAUGAAGAGCGAUUUGUUCGCUGUGUUCGAAGAUAUAUGAAGUGUGUUGCUUGCUGCGGUUGAGUUGCAGUGGACAUGCCUGUAUUUUAAAUUUCCCUAAGUUCAGGUCGACAUAGUCCAUCAGCAUUCUCAGCAUGAACGACGCAGAGUAUUAUGAUGAUAAUGAUGAUAUGCCGUGAAAUGAUAUACGGCGAAAUUUCCUUGGAUUUUACGUGGUUCUAGUCUGGCAAACAUUGAACUUGUAAAUUUUGUAAAUUGCAAGAUGUUUUAUCGCGCUAAAGAAGUUAAGAUGGUUUGUAUCA